rnacentral:rRNA from 1 species
AGAGUUUGAUCCUGGCUCAGGAUGAACGCUAGCGGCAGGCCUAAUACAUGCAAGUCGGACGGGAUUGAGGAGCUUGCUCUUCAUGAGAGUGGCGCACGGGUGCGUAACACGUAUGUAACCUACCUUGUUCAGGGGGAUAGCCUCUCGAAAGAGAGAUUAAGACCGCAUAAAAUCGCACGGUGGCAUCACCAAAUGAUCAAAUAUUAAUAGGAACAAGAUGGGCAUGCGGAACAUUAGCUAGUUGGUGAGGUAACGGCUCACCAAGGCGACGAUGUUUAGGGGAUCUGAGAGGAUGACCCCCCACACUGGUACUGAGACACGGACCAGGCUCCUACGGGAGGCAGCAGUAGGGAAUAUUGGUCAAUGGACGGAAGUCUGAACCAGCCAUGCCGCGUGCAGGAAGACGGCCCUAUGGGUUGUAAACUGCUUUUGCAGGGGAAUAAACCUCUUUACGUGUAAAGAGCUGAAUGUACUCUGAGAAUAAGGAUCGGCUAACUCCGUGCCAGCAGCCGCGGUAAUACGGAGGAUCCAAGCGUUAUCCGGAUUUAUUGGGUUUAAAGGGUGCGUAGGUGGCCUGUUAAGUCAGGGGUGAAAGACGGUAGCUCAACUAUCGCAGUGCCCUUGAUACUGAUGGGCUUGAAUAAACUAGAGGUAGGCGGAAUGUGACAAGUAGCGGUGAAAUGCAUAGAUAUGUCACAGAACACCAGUUGCGAAGGCAGCUUACUAUGGUUUUAUUGACACUGAGGCACGAAAGCGUGGGGAUCAAACAGGAUUAGAUACCCUGGUAGUCCAAGGGNGAAUUCGCGGCCGCUAA